UAAGGAAUAUUGGUCAAUGGACGCAAGUCUGAACCAGCCAUGCCGCGUGAAGGAUUAAGGCCCUCUGGGUUGUAAACUUCUUUUAUAGGGGAAGAAAUGUGACGGUUCUCCGUCACUUGACGGUACCCUGGGAAUAAGCACCGGCUAACUCCGUGCCAGCAGCCGCGGUAAUACGGAGGGUGCAAGCGUUAUCCAGAUUCACUGGGUUUAAAGGGUGCGUAGGUGGGCAGAUAAGUCAGUGGUGAAAUCUUCCGGCUUAACCGGGAAACUGCCGUUGAUACUAUUUGUCUUGAAUAUUGCGGAGGUAAACGGAAUAUGUCAUGUAGCGGUGAAAUGCUUAGAUAUGACAAAGAACACCAAUUGCGAAGGCAGCUUACUACACAAUCAUUGACACUGAGGCACGAAAGCGUGGGUAGCGAACA
rnacentral:rRNA from 1 species